AUUGAACGCUAGCGGCAGGCCUAACACAUGCAAGUCGAACGAGUGGCGGACGGGUGAGUAAUGUAUGGGAAACUGCCUGAUGGAGGGGGAUAACUACUGGGAACGGUAGCUAAUACCGCAUACCAUCGGAUGUGCCCAGAUGGGAUUAGCUAGUAGGUGGGGUAACGGCUCACCUAGGGGACGAUCCCUAGCUGGUCUGAGAGGAAGACCAGCCACACUGGAACGUAGACACGGUCCAGACUCCUACGUGAGGCAGCAGUGGGGAAUAUUGCACAAGGGGCGCAAGCCUAAUGCAGCCAUGCCGCUUGUAUGAAGAAGGCCUUCGGGUUGUAAAGUACUUUCAGCGGGGAGGCGUUACCCGCAGAAGAAGCACCGGCUAACUCCGUGCCAGCAGCCGCGGUAAUUC
rnacentral:rRNA from 1 species